rnacentral:rRNA from 1 species
AGUGAACGCUGGCGGUAGGCCUAACACAUGCAAGUCGAACGGCAGCACAGUAAGAGCUUGCUCUUACGGGUGGCGAGUGGCGGACGUGUGAGGAAUACAUCGGAAUCUACUUUUUCGUGGGGGAUAACGUAGGGAAACUUACGCUAAUACCGCAUACGACCUACGGGUGAAAGCAGGGGAUCUUCGGACCUUGCGCGAUUGAAUGAGCCGAUGUCGGAUUAGCUAGUUGGCGGGGUAAAGGCCCACCAAGGCGACGAUCCGUAGCUGGUCUGAGAGGAUGAUCAGCCACACUGGAACUGAGACACGGUCCAGACUCCUACGGGAGGCAGCAGUGGGGAAUAUUGGACAAUGGGCGCAAGCCUGAUCCAGCCAUACCGCGUGGGUGGAGAAGGCCUUCGGGUUGUAAAGCCCUUUUGUUGGGAAAGAAAAGCAGCAGGUUAAUACCCCGCUGUUCUGACGGUACCCAAAGAAUAAGCACCGGCUAACUUCGUG